AGUGAACGCUGGCGGUAGGCCUAACACAUGCAAGUCGAACGGCAGCACAGUAAGAGCUUGCUCUUACGGGUGGCGAGUGGCGGACGGGUGAGGAAUACAUCGGAAUCUACUUUUUCGUGGGGGAUAACGUAGGGAAACUUACGCUAAUACCGCAUACGACCUACGGGUGAAAGCAGGGGACCUUCGGACCUUGCGCGAUUGAAUGAGCCGAUGUCGGAUUAGCUAGUUGGCGGGGUAAAGGCCCACCAAGGCGACGAUCCGUAGCUGGUCUGAGAGGAUGAUCAGCCACACUGGAACUGAGACACGGUCCAGACUCCUACGGGAGGCAGCAGUGGGGAAUAUUGGACAAUGGGCGCAAGCCUGAUCCAGCCAUACCGCGUGGGUGAAGAAGGCCUUCGGGUUGUAAAGCCCUUUUGUUGGGAAAGAAAAGCAGCAAGUUAAUACCCCGCUGUUCUGACGGUACCCAAAGAAUAAGCACCGGCUAACUUCGUG
rnacentral:rRNA from 1 species